GACGAACGCUGGCGGCGUGCCUAAUACAUGCAAGUAGAACGCUGAAGGAGGAGCUUGCUUCUCUGGAUGAGUUGCGAACGGGUGAGUAACGCGUAGGUAACCUGCCUGGUAGCGGGGGAUAACUAUUGGAAACGAUAGCUAAUACCGCAUAAGAGUAGAUGUUGCAUGACAUUUGCUUAAAAGGUGCAAUUGCAUCACUACCAGAUGGACCUGCGUUGUAUUAGCUAGUUGGUGGGGUAACGGCUUACCAAGGCGACGAUACAUAGCCGACCUGAGAGGGUGAUCGGCUAAGCUGAGACUGAGACACGGCCCAGACGCCGACGGGAGGCAGCAGUAGGGAAUCCUCGGCAAUAGACGGAAGUCUGACCGAGCAACGCCGCGUGAGUGAAGAAGGUUUUCGGAUCGUAAAGCCCUGUUGUAAGAGAAGAACGGGUGUGAGAGUGGAAAGUUCACACUGUGACGGUAUCUUACCAGAAAGGGACGGCUAACUACGUG
rnacentral:rRNA from 1 species